CAACACCCCAGCCAGAGAGACGGCAGCCACCCCAGAGACGACAUUCCAUUGAAAAGGAAACGCCUACUAACGUGAGGCAGUUCCUGCCGCCUUCCAGGCAGAGUUCCCGCUCUCUUGUUCCUAGGAUAACCAGUGUAUGGCCAAGGACGCCUUUUCGACCACUUUUUUCUACCAUACAAACAGCUUCUCUGCUCAGCUCUCAUCCUUUUGAAGCAGCCAUGUUUGGGGUAGCAGGGGCUAUGUAUUAUCUGUGUGAGAGAGCUUUUACCAGCAGGUGGAAAUCCUCAAAGGAGGAAUUCUGCUACCCAGUGGAAUGCCUCGCUCUUACUGUGGAAGAAGUGAUGCAUAUUCGCCAGGUCCUGGUGAAGGCAGAGCUGGAAAAAUACCAACAGUAUAAAGACAUCUACACCGCCUUGAAAAAAGGAAAGGUAGUGCUGUUUAAAGUUGAUUGAUCAGAAGAGUAGAAGGAUGGCCAGUCCCAUGCAUAGUCUCCUGGGAGAGUUAUCUGCUAGCCAGGUGGCACAGACUUUGAGGGGAUUUGGGAUGUGUGAUGUUCAUAUCCUAGUAGACAGUACAUGUGCUGUCUCGUUCACAAGAGGGGGCAUUUUUGUUUCUGCCUUAGAAAUCAAAACUGGAAGGUUUUCAAGCAACCAUAACAAAUAUCGAUAUGUCUUCCUAAAACCAUGCAUGUGGCCAGGCA
rnacentral:lncRNA from 1 species